rnacentral:rRNA from 1 species
UUGCACCUUUCAAGUGAGUGGCGAACGGGUGAGUAACACGUGGACAACCUGCCUCAAGGCUGGGGAUAACAUUUGGAAACAGAUGCUAAUACCGAAUAAAACUUAAUGUCCCAUGACAAAAAGUUAAAAGGCGCUUCGGCGUCACCUAGAGAUGGAUCCGCGGUGCAUUAGUUAGUUGGUGGGGUAAAGGCCUACCAAGACAAUGAUGCAUAGCCGAGUUGAGAGACUGAUCGGCCACAUUGGGACUGAGACACGGCCCAAACUCCUACGGGAGGCUGCAGUAGGGAAUCUUCCACAAUGGGCGAAAGCCUGAUGGAGCAACGCCGCGUGUGUGAUGAAGGCUUUCGGGUCGUAAAGCACUGUUGUAUGGGAAGAACAGCUAGAAUAGGAAAUGAUUUUAGUUUGACGGUACCAUACCAGAAAGGGACGGCUAAAUACGUGCCAGCAGCCGCGGUAAUACGUAUGUCCCGAGCGUUAUCCGGAUUUAUUGGGCGUAAAGCGAGCGCAGACGGUUUAUUAAGUCUGAUGUGAAAGCCCGGAGCUCAACUCCGGAAUGGCAUUGGAAACUGGUUAACUUGAGUGC